rnacentral:rRNA from 1 species
UACAGAGGAGCCAAGCGUUGUCCGGAUUGACUGGGCGUAAAGCGCACGCAGGCGGACGCGCGCGUGGGGUGUGAAAUCUGGCCGCUUAACGGCCAGGCGCCAUCCCAUACGGCGGGUCUGGAGUGAUGCAGAGGUCGGUGGAAUUGCCGGUGUAGUGGUGAAAUGCGUAGAGAUCGGCAGGAACACCCAGGGGGAAACCAGCCGACUGGGCAUCUACUGACGCUGAGGUGCGAGAGCGUGGGGAGCGAACCGG